AGGUGCCGUCACACUUGAGCCACCUGAUGUUGGCCGGGGCAAUGCCAAGUGCUUGGGUCGACGCGGGCGGCUGUUCCCAGUACUUCUGCCAACCCUCCAGCUGGAUGCCGGCAGAGGAAGAGGGAAGCAGCUGUUGGGACGCUGACGGUGGCUGACUGGUGGAUGGAGCGAGCUCUCCCAAGAGCCUCCAGUCCCGGAUCAGUGUGAGGUGGGCCCUCAGAGGAGACAAAGUGAGGGUGAAGCCACUGUGGACAGGCCGUGGCAGUCUUCACCAGAAGGAGAGCGUAUCACGUCUCUGCCGCUGGCAGCACACUCUGAUGGGGCAGAAGUACAACAUUUGCAUAUAGGAGCGAGGAGGAAACAGUUAUCUGGACAGGAGGAUGGUCGCUCAGAAAAUGAAAAAACCCUGGGAUAUGUUUCAACCCGGGCCAGUCUGUAAGUAGAGAGGGGAGCAGCCGACAGGAUUCAGUUGAAGGACGACGGCCAACACGAGACAGAAAAGCGCCAGUAUGGGUGGCAGACUAUGAUUUCUGAUACUGACUCGAGGACGAGUCCUUUUCGCUAGGGGAGGGAGAAGUGUAAUGAACACUGUUGGGGGGAGAUUCCCUGCGUUCUGAUUCCUGGGGGUGGAGAUCCCAUGAACAGCUGAGCUCACCUGUGUGAAGAGUGGACUCCGUGUUAAAAAGGGACACUGAAGCACACCAAAGAAAGCCAGAUGAGCGACUGUAAAGUGACAGUGAAGCCCGAGGCUCCAACAAGCUUCACUGACGAGCGAGGCUGAAGGCUGCGGUCUUCCUCGUGCUGAUGCUGUUCGCAACUUUUAGUGUUGCCGACAGUGAAAACAGCUCGAUAGGGGAGCUGUUCCCAAGAAAGGAGGAGAGGCUGGAUGCCUCCUGUAGAUAGAAAGCGGGGGGGGUUAGACGCUACCUCUGCAGGGCCAGCCCAUUGCUGAGUCACAGAGAAAACUGUGACUGCUUUACUACUUGUGGAGCGGUGCUGUGGACCUGACGUGCACUCCUGCUUUCCGGCCUGUGUUUGCUGCAGUGACGUUGCCUGUCCCUGCAGACUCUAUGAACUUGGACCACGGGGGGGUCUUGUCGACUAUAUAAGUUUUUAUCUAUUUAAAUAAUUCUAUUACACUUUGAUUCACUGUUUUGCAUUUGUAUUAUGUUUGUAGCCUUUAAUCAACUGAUGCUUAAUUCACCCAGUCUAACCUCCACCAGGGUCAUCUCAAAGCAAAAGUGGUCCUCUGCCACCCUCUAGUGUGCGGUGGGUUUCACCCUGGUUGCAGUGGUCCUGAAGGGUGUGCAUGUGUUUCUGGCUUUAGUGUGAAGUGGUGCUGUGCUUGGUUGCAGUGGAUUUUAUUGAUAAGGGUCCUGUGUGUUAAAUGGGGCUGGGGCGGG
rnacentral:lncRNA from 1 species